rnacentral:rRNA from 1 species
UACGUGGGGUGCGAGCGUUGUCCGGAAUUAUUGGGCGUAAAGGGCUCGUAGGCGGUCUGUUGCGUCAGGAGUGAAAACUCGGGGCUUAACCCCGAGCCUGCUUCUGAUACGGGCAGACUAGAGGUAUGCAGGGGAGAACGGAAUUCCUGGUGUAGCGGUGAAAUGCGCAGAUAUCAGGAGGAACACCGGUGGCGAAGGCGGAUCUCUGGGCCGAUACUGACGCUGAGGAGCGAAAGCGUGGGGAGCGAACAGG